AGCGAACGCUGGCGGCGUGCUUAACACAUGCAAGUCGAGCGAAGGUGUUUCAAGGGUAACCUUGAGAUACACUUAGCGGCGGACGGGUGAGUAAUACGUGGAUAACUUACCUCUAGGCCUGGGAUAACCCCGGGAAACUGGGGCUAAUACCUGAUAAGACCACAUUGUCUACGGACAAAGGGGUAAAAGGUGGCUGUGCAAACAGCUAUCGCCAAAAGAUAGGUUCACGUCCCAUCAGGCAGUUGGCGAGGUAAUGGCUCACCAAACCAAAGACGGUAGCCGGCCUUGGCGGGUGAACGGCCACACGGGGACUGAGACACGGCCCCGACUCCUACGGGAGGCAGCAGUGGGGAAUAUUGGGCAAUGGGCGCAAGCCUGACCCAGCGACGCCGCGUUGGGAAGAAGGCC
rnacentral:rRNA from 1 species